AGCAGCCGCGGUAAUUCCAGCUCCAAUAGCGUAUAUUAAAGUUGUUGCAGUUAAAAAGCUCGUAGUUGAAUUUCGGGAUCAAUUGAUUGGUCAUGCCUUGGUAUGUACUGGUCAUAUUGGUUCUCACCUUCUAAUGAACCAUAAUGUCAUUUACUUGAUGUUAUGGGGAAUUAGGACUGUUACCUUGAAAAAAUUAGAGUGUUUAAAGCAGGCUUACGCUUGAAUACAUUAGCAUGGAAUAAUGAAAUAGGACAUCGCAUUCUAUUUUGUUGGUUUCUAGGAUCGAUGUAAUGAUUAAUAGGGAUAGUUGGGGGCAUUAGUAUUCAAUUGUCAGAGGUGAAAUUCUUGGAUUUAUUGAAGACUAACUACUGCGAAAGCAUUUGCCAAGGAUGUUUUCAUUAAUCAAGAACGAAAGUUAGGGGAUCGAAGACGAUCAGAUACCGUCGUAGUCUUAACCAUAAACUAUGCCGACUAGGGAUCGGAUGAUGUUGAUUUUUUAAAUGUA
rnacentral:sRNA from 1 species